ensembl:lncRNA
GUUGGAUUUCUAUGUUUAGAAGGUGGUUUCUGCGUAUGGUCAGUAUAUAAUUAUGAUGAUUACAUAAUGAGCCACCUCUUCGGUUUCUGCUGGUUGGCAACUCUGAGAAAACGACCUAAUUUGAACUACCAGCGUCACAGACCUUGAACCUUGUAAAAAGUCACUUUUAAAUGAAUCUAGCACAUCAGGCAGUUGCCAGACUUUGCUGGCAAUGGUAAAAAUAGAUUAGUGAGAUUUUCCACUGCUGGGGACAGGCUUCUACAUGCGUGGCUGCUGCAAAGUGAAUCCACAAGGCAACCAUUCACAGCGUUUUGAAUGCUUCUCUUCACUCACUGCCCAUUUGACGUUCAAUAGACGUUCAGACCGAGGCUAAGAAGUGACCUUUUAUGGCUCGCUCUUAACAUUGACAUUUAAUCACAAACGUGCCACGCACUGGACUACUGCCCUUCUGCUGCUUUGUUCUACCAAAGAAAUCUCUCUCUGUUAAGCCUUGAAACGUCAACAUUGAUAUGGCAGGUCCUGUUAGUUGAAACGCAAGUUUGUCCUGCCCAGUUUUCUGAAGCUGCUGCUCCGUCACACUGUGCAAGGAGGGAGUAUGGGCAAGGGGGAGCCUGAGACCGCACAACAGGUUUUUCAGCUUUGCAUGAGUGAAGCACCAGGUACAAGUUGACCCUUCAGGUUGCACACCUCACCGCCUCUGCUCAUGAAAAGCUGGGGGAGUAUUCAGCAGGCCACUCCAAACUCACAGUCCUACCUAGCUGCUGCAAGAAAAAUGAAGAAUCCCAGACUAGCCAACAAUCUCUUUGUUUGCGCCAGUAUGCAGAUCUGCCAGGCAGUGAAGGAGCUAAACACAUGUUCCCAGAGUCCUGAGGAAGUGCCUUAACCACUAUAGCCAUAAAUGGGAAGACUCCAGCCUCGCGCUGCAGACGCUGAGCGGGUCAUCUCAGCAGCACUGCCAGAGCGUGGGGUGCAGCCUCUGAAAGCAGGGAAGCUCCAGUGCCUCGGGCUGAGGACAGCAGUGUGGAGAACAUGGUGAACCUUGUAUCAGGGGAAAAGGAGCUGGAGACAAGGGCUGGGAAAGUACAGGAAAGGAGGAAAACUGCCGAUGGAAGAAAGAGUCAGAACUAGAAACAGAUUGGGAAGACAAAUGCACAGCGUAAGUGUAUGGAUAAAGAGAAGUAAGCAGGCAGAGAAAAGAGAGGUGUGGGGAAUGACAGGAGAGAGAAAAUGUAAUGGCCUUGUUACACAGGAACCCGAUCACACGAUAUAAAGGUCUCUUCUAAGCUGAAAUGCUGGCCAUGUGAACGGGUCUAGCAGUUAGCUCUGUAGGUCAAAUAAUGAAAUUGAAGAAUCCAGCCUUUGGAUGAAGAAUCCAACCUUUGGAUGAUCACUGUGUGUGCUAAUAUGACCCCACACGAUGAAAUGUAGCUUUUGCCAUUUAUUUAACAAAAAAAAAAUUCAAAAACCAAGAGCAGACAAAAAAAGAAAUUAAGACUGCGGUCUCAAGUGAUGCUAAUAUGAAGGGCAUGGGAUAAACCUCUAAUUCAUGUGCGUAUGCAUUAUGAUAUAGACCUGUGAGAUCUCUCCUUUACUUUUUGCAGGGGAUUGAAGGUGGCUAAUGAACAAAUUAGGGACUUAAGGAAGAGAGGGAAUGGUUGGUGUUGCCCUGAAGAUCUGAACAGAAGCCUUGCUUCUGCCACCAGGGCCAAAGUGAUGUGGGGCAAGUCACACAGCUGGCCUCUUUCUGCGGUCCUCAUUUUCUGAGCGUGCUCAGUGCACUUAGCUUAUUUACUUACACUUCCUUUAGUGUACUUAGCUUUACUGGGGUGCUGGGCAUGCAUGGCAGCAGCUGAAGUCUAUGAGAACCAUGCACAGCAAAACAUUGCAUCUCCUCAAGAAUUA